GCUAGGAUGAACGCUAGCGGCAGGCUUAACACAUGCAAGUCGAGGGGCAUCGCGGUUGUAGCAAUACGACUGGCGGCGACCGGCGCAAGGGUGCGUAACGCGUGAGCGACAUGCCCGUAACCGGGGGAUAACCGAUGGAAACGUCGCCUAACCCCCCAUAACACCAGUUUCUGCAUGGUGACUGGUUGAAAACUCUGGUGGUUACGGAUUGGCUCGCGUGACAUUAGGUAGACGGCGGGGUAACGGCCCACCGUGCCGACGAUGUCUAGGGGUUCUGAGAGGAAGGUCCCCCACAAUGGAACUGAGACACGGUCCAUACUCCUACGGGAGGCAGCAGUGAGGAAUAUUGGUCAAUGGGCGGAAGCCUGAACCAGCCAUGCCGCGUGCGGGAAGACGGCCCUAUGGGUUGUAAACCGCUUUUGAGAGGGAGCAAUAAGGUGGUCGAGCACCAUCGAUGAGAGUACCUUUCGAAUAAGCAUCGGCUAACUCCGUGCCAGCCGCGGC
rnacentral:rRNA from 1 species